UAAAUACUUCCUCCGUUCGAAAUUACUCGUCCAAGAAAUGAAUGUAUCUAGAUGUAUUUUAGUUGUAGAUACAUCCAUUUUUUAGACAAGUAAUUCCGAACGGAGGGAGUACAUA
rnacentral:pre_miRNA from 1 species